GAUGAACGCUGGCGGCGUGCUUAACACAUGCAAGUCGAACGAAGCAUUUAGAACAGAUUAUUUCGGUAUGAAGUUCUUUAUGACUGAGUGGCGGACGGGUGAGUAACGCGUGGGUAACCUGCCUUGUACUGGGGGAUAGCAGCUGGAAACGGCUGGUAAUACCGCAUAAGCGCACAAUGUUGCAUGACAUGGUGUGAAAAACUCCGGUGGUAUAAGAUGGACCCGCGUCUGAUUAGCUAGUUGGUGAGAUAACAGCCCACCAAGGCGACGAUCAGUAGCCGACCUGAGAGGGUGACCGGCCACAUUGGGACUGAGACACGGCCCAGACUCCUACGGGAGGCAGCAGUGGGGAAUAUUGCACAAUGGAGGAAACUCUGAUGCAGCGACGCCGCGUGAGUGAAGAAGUAAUUCGUUAUGUAAAGCUCUAUCAGCAGGGAAGAUAGUGACGGUACCUGACUAAGAAGCUCCGGCUAAAUACGUGCCAGCCGCCGCCGUAA
rnacentral:rRNA from 1 species